UGAAUCUAAGCACUGUUUUGUUAGGCCA
rnacentral:piRNA from 1 species